rfam:Schistosoma haematobium scaffold705_77, whole genome shotgun sequence.
CUGCUGAGGAGUCCCAUACUAGGACGAAACGGCCGUCCAGUGC